AAUCACCUAUUCGACAGAUUCAGUCCCACCCAAACCCAACCCUAAAACUCCUCCAACCUUUGAUUUCGAGAUAUCAUAUAAAAGUGGUGAUGGCGGCCCGGCGUAAGAACCCGCAGAUUGAGAAUGUUCUGAUGAGGCUUCCCUCAAGCAUUCGCUGCACCGCUUGUAGCACUGUCAUGGCCAAAGACACCAAGUUGAAUUCCCGCAAAGAAGAAGCCCUCGGCGAGGAGUUUUGGGAGGUUUGGAAGGAUCACACAUUCAGAUUUUGCUUCAGCUGUACCCACUGCUUGGCUGAGAUUGUCAUAAGGACAGACCCACAAUAUUCACACCUUACUGUUGAGGCCGGUGCUUUUGAAAUUUUAUAGUCAUUUUAUCCCUUGGCAUCCCCCUAGGGUUGAGGAGAAAGAGAAGUUGGUUCCUUACACGGACCCAAACUGGCAAGAGAAAAGAGAGGAGGUCUUAGUUGAUUAACAGGAUACAACAAAUUAUAGAUAAGCAUAUUCAGAAAAAGAAGAUUGAAGAAGCGGGAGAUGCCAUGAAAUCUUUGGAUUUCAAAUGAGAGAUUUAGCAGUUUUCCGUCAAGGUAGAUUCCUUAUUAUUUGCAAUCAGAUUCAUAGCCGAUCGAUGUGAUAAUGCAUGUAGUUUGCUAAGCUUGGGCAUGCGACCGAUCAUUUAGGGCGGAAUGAAGUGUGGACUUUCCAAAACAAAAAUAUAGACAUGUUGGUCCUACAUUCCAUGCUUCUGCUAAUUUAGCUAGUUUUUAUUGUCAUUGGUUUAUUUGAUAUCCUUGUGUACAUUAACGUGUUUCUUAACUUAAGAGUUUUUGAGAUGUACGCAAGUUUAUGAAAUAUUUCGACUUUUAUGUUGAUAGAACAGAGGGCGCUGCUAAGACGUGUAUUUUUUUAGAUGUGUG